CCUACGGGUGGCAGCAGUGGAGAAUAUUGGGCAAUGGGCGCAAGCCUGACCCAGCAACGCCGCGUGAGGGAAGAAGGUACUCGGGUUGUAAACUUCUUUUCUGAGGGACGAAGAAAGUGACGGUACCCCAGGAAUAAGCCACGGCUAACUACGUGCCAGCAGCCGCGGUAAUCCGUAGGUGGCAAGCGUUAUCCGGAUUUAUUGGGUGUAAGGGGCGUGUAGGCGGGAAAGCAAGUCAGAUGUGAAAACUCAGGGCUCAACCCCUUCCCGCCAUUGAAACUGGCGCUCUUGAGUGGAAGAGAAGUAUGCGGAAUGCGUGGUGUAGCGGUGAAAUGCAUAGAUAUCACGCAGAACCCCGAUUGCGAAGGCAGCAUGCCGGCUUCCGACUGACGCUGAAGCACGAAAGCGUGGGGAUCGAACAGGAUUAGAUACCCCUGUAGUC
rnacentral:rRNA from 1 species